rnacentral:rRNA from 1 species
UACGAGGGGGGCAAAUGUUGUUCGGAAUCACUGGGCGUAAAGGGUGCGUAGGCGGGCUCUUAAGUUAGGUGUUUAAUCCCGGGGCCCAACCCCGGUCGUGCACUUAAAACUGGGAGUCUUGAAUAGUGGAGAGGUCAGUGGAAUUGGGGGUGUAGCGGUGGAAUGCGUAGAGAUCCCCAAGAACACCAGUUGCGAAGGCGGCUGACUGGACACAUAUUGACGCUGAGGCUCGAAAGCAUGGGGAGCAAACAGG